UGAGUUGUUCAUUAAAAAUUUCGGCCAGGGGCGCUGCCCCCUUGACCCCUGUCCGCUGAUUGGUCAGCGGACCCCCGGCUAACUCUGUGUAGUGUGAUUGGUCGCCGAAAUUUUAUUUGGUUUUAAUUAAUUAAAAGAAUUAAAAUUAAUAAUAAUAAUAAUGUGUUUAUUAUUAUUGUCUUGUGGUGAUCGGUUAUGGCUUAGUUUUCCUUUAUUUUGUUUUGG
rnacentral:lncRNA from 1 species